rnacentral:rRNA from 1 species
AGUGAACGUUGGCGGCGCGGAUUAGGCAUGCAAGUCGAGCGAGAACCGUAGCAAUACGGGGACAGCGGCGAAAGGGGCAGUAAUGUGUAGGUACCUACCUCCGGGUUCGGGAUAGCUGCGGGAAACUGCAGGUAAUACCGAAUAACGUCUCCGGACCAACGGUGUGAUUCCACCUGGAGAGGGGCCUGCAUCCUAUUAGCUUGUUGGCGGGGUAACGGCCCACCAAGGCGACGAUGGGUAGCGGGUGUGAGAGCACGACCCGCGUCAUUGGGACUGAGACACUGCCCAGACACCUACGGGUGGCUGCAGUCGUGAAUCUUCGGCAAUGGGCGCAAGCCUGACCGAGCGACGCCGCGUGCGGGAUGAAGGCCUUCGGGUUGUAAACCGCUGUCGUAGAGGAGGAAAUGCAGGGGGGUUCUCCCCUCUGUUUGACCUAUUCUAGGAGGAAGUACGGGCUAAGUUCGUGCCAGCCGCCGCAGUAA